UUGCUUCCUUCAGCAGCACAUAUACUAAAAUUGGAACCAUACAGAGAAGAUUACCAUGGCUCCUGCAUAAGGAUGACACACAAAUUUGUGAAGCAUUCCAUGUUUUU